UCUAGCUCAGCACGUCGGGUAGGGCUCUAACUCGCGACGCCCUUACCUCGAUCCUGGUCCGCAGACGGUGCAGCAGCCGGAACCUGUGGCUCUGCAAAACAUAGGUAACAACUGGGCGUGAGAACUACUGUAAAAACAAGUAGUCCUCAGUGGGUACCGCCCAAAACAACAUCGGUCACCCACUAAGUCUACAGAAGGGAGCAAGAAUAGAAGGAAAGUAGGAAGCACACUCUACCGCUAUCAUCCACUACACUAUCAUGCUCUACACUAACCAACUGUAGGAAAUGUCAAAUC
rnacentral:lncRNA from 1 species